AUUGAACGCUGGCGGUAUGCCUAACACAUGCAAGUCGUACGAGAGUUUUUAACUCUAGUGGCGGACGGGUGAGUAACACGUGAGAAUUUGCCUUUAGGAGGGGGAUAACAAUUGGAAACGAAUGCUAAUACCCCAUAUGCUUUUGAGUGAAAUGGAUUUUAUCCGCCUAGAGAGAAGCUCGCGGCUGAUUAGCUUGUUGGUAAGGUAAGAGCUUACCAAGGCGACGAUCAGUAUCUGGUUUGAGAGGACGAUCAGACACACUGGAACUGAGACACGGUCCAGACUCCUACGGGAGGCAGCAGUGGGGAAUUUUCCGCAAUGGGCGAAAGCCUGACGGAGCAAUACCGCGUGAGGGAAGAAUGCCUAUGGGUUGUAAACCUCUUUUUUCAGGGAGGAAUAAAAUGACGUGUACCUGAAGAAUAAGCAUCGGCUAACUCCGUG
rnacentral:rRNA from 1 species